AUUGAACGCUGGCGGCAGGCCUAACACAUGCAAGUCGAACGAGUGGCGGACGGGUGAGUAAUGUCUGGGAAACUGCCCGAUGGAGGGGGAUAACUACUGGAAACGGUAGCUAAUACCGCAUACCAUCGGAUGUGCCCAGAUGGGAUUAGCUAGUAGGUGGGGUAACGGCUCACCUAGGCGACGAUACCUCGCUGGUCCGAGAGGAUGACCAGCAACACUGGAACUGAGACACGGUCCAUACUCCUACGGGAGGAAGCAGUGGGGAAUAUUGCACAAUGGGCGCAAGCCUGAUGCAGCCAUGCCGCGUGUAUGAAGAAGGCCUUCGGUUUGUAAAGUACUUUCAGCGAGGAGGCGUUAAUCGCAGAGGAAGCAUCGGCUAACUCCGUGCCAGCCGCCGCGGUAAUAC
rnacentral:rRNA from 1 species